rnacentral:lncRNA from 1 species
UCCCCGCUGUCCCUCACCGGUGACGUUGAGCAGUUUGGGCAGGAACCGUGUCCAGAAGGCGCAGGCCUGGGCGCGCAGGCCCUGGGCCACGGCGAGCGGCCGCGCGUUGAGCCGGGCGUAGCUCUGCCCCGACGCCGUGUAGGACGGCCAGCGCCGCUCGCGCUCCGACGGCUCGUUGGGGUCACUGCGGCGAGGGACGGGUCAGCCGAGGGUGCCCAACUCAACUCAACUCAACCCAACUCAACCCAACUCAACCCAACUCAACCCAACUCAACCCAUCCAAGGUCAUCCAACUCAUCCCAACUCAUCCAAACUCAGCCCAAACCAGCCAAGGGUGUCCAACUCAACUCAACCCAACCCAACUCAACUCAGGUCAUCCAACUCAAUUCAUCACAAUUCAGCUCAACCCAACUCAUCCAAACUCAGCCCAACCCAACUGAACCCAACACAACCCAACUCAACCCAUCCAAGGUCAUCCAAACUCAGCCCAAACCAGCCAAGGGUGUCCAACUCAACCCAACUCAACUCAAUCAAGGGUGUCCAACUCAACCAAGGUCAUCCAACUCAUCCCAACUCAACCCAACUCAACUCAACCCAACCAAGGUCAUCCAACCCAACUCAUCCAAACUCAACCUAACCCAGCCAAACUCAACCCAACCCAGCCAAGGGUGUCCAACUCAACCCAACUCAAGCCAAUCUAACUCAAGCAAGGUCAUCCAACUCAACCUGACUCAUCCAAACUCAACCCAACCCAGCCAAGGACAUCCAACUCAACUCAACCCAACCUAACUCAAGCAAGGGCAUCCAACUUAACCCAGCCAAGGUCAUCCAACUCAACUCAUCCAACUCAACUCAUCCCAACUCAACCAAGGGCAUGCAAUUCAACUCAACUCAACUCAACUCAACUCAAGAGAGGGCAUCCAACUCAACUCAUCAGAAUUCAACCCAACCCAAUUCAUCCAAACUCAACCCAAUCCAGGCAAGAGCGUCCAACCCAACCCAACUCAAUCAAGGGCAUCCAACCCAACUCAACCCAACUGAGAGCAUCCAAACCAACCCAACUCAACUCAACUCAAUCCAAGUCAACCCAACCGAGGGCAUCCAACCCAACUCAUCCAAACUCAACUCAUCCAAACUCAACCCAACCAAGGUCAUGCAACCCAACUGA